GUCUAGGCCAGGCAGGGCCCACAGGGGCACCCGGCCACCACUCCAUCGCUACAGUUGUGACCCGGGCCACUGACUGCCAGACGCCAUGAUCGGCCAUCUCUGGCUCUCAGGCUGCUGCCCAGGCUGAAGGAGGGUGUCACCAGCAGUCUGCUCUCAGAAUCCAAGUUGGGAAACCUCAAGUGGCAAGGAACUAUUUUACCCUCAGGCAACAACCAGAAAGAAGCGGAAGCUAUCAGUCCUACAACCACAGGGAACUGACUUCUGCCUGCAGCCUGGAUGAGGUUGAAAGCAGAUCUUUCUCAACCGAAAGUGAGGGCAGAAGAAGAACAUUUUCUCUCUCCAGCCACAAGAAACAUCCCUGAGGAACAUCUCAAAAGAGAGCAAAAGUGAUGCAAUGGUGCAUGUUCUGGAGGGGACUGUGAGACUCAUGGGCUGAAUCUGUUUGAACUGGAGUAGAGGAAGGCAGCUGGAAGUCAGGUAAGUUGCAGAGGCCUUGAGAACAGUUAGGUGCUGGGUGUCAAUUCCCAUAACAUACAGAAGACCCACAGAAGCCUUGAGAAUUUUAUACCAGCAGAAAUGUGUACAGCUUGUACUGAGAGAGAAUUACAUAGAAGAAGGAUG